CUACACACACUACAUACACACUCUCUCUCUCUUUCUCUGUCUCUCGCUCUCUCUCUCUCCCUCUCCAAGACUCCCUUCUCCUACUCCAGAUGAGCGUGCCUCCUUGUCAGGGCGAGCAGAUUUGGAGCUGAAGGUGUGCUGUUGUUGCCAGUGAUCUGCCAUUUGGAAAGGAAGACUGGAGGAAACUCCUCUAACUGGAGAUAUUAUCUCAGUUACUGCCAGAGACUGCGGAGGAAGCUUUUAAAGAGACACUGCAUUGUUGAGUUAAAG